CUAUUCAGUUUGGCGAGUUCCUGAGAAUUACUUUACAUAUCACCAUGGCAUAUUUACCCUUUCGUAUUCUGGUUGCCUUUUUUGUGUCAAAAGUCGCGCUUAUCUUCACAAUUGCAGGCCUGGCCUCUAAAACCUGGCAUAAGGGCGGGUUCAACGAAACGAUAUUUCAUGUGGAUGGAGAUAAUUAUGAUGGUUCAGGAAUACCAUUAUCGACAUUAGUAUGUCUAGGCUUGGGUAUAUCGUUUAGUGUUCUUUGUUUUAUAAUCUUCAGAUGCGUAACGUCCGAGCGAAAAAUAUGUCUGAUACUUUUAUCCGCAGUAUUUGUUAUUUUAACUGGAAUAUUAAUACUAAUUGGUGUUGGUGUUGUCGCCCCUUUCAUAUCAUCUGGCUAUGGGUCUUCGUUUUACUUGGCAUUAUUUGGUGGAAUUCUGUAUUUGGUAUCGGGUUUACUGUUGCUAGUUAAUUUGUGUAUACCGUAUUCGCUGCCGUCUCGAGAUGCCCCUAAACAUUCACGCACAAGAAUUUGUCUAACUCUAAUUUUUUGUUAAGCCAAGCAAGAAGACUCGACAAAUGAUACUAAUCUUGCUCCGCCGCUGCAUCGCAAUACAACGGCAAGAAAGCAAGAAAUGAUUAGUUCGUGUCGUUUACAUAUAGCGAAGUGAAGCCACAAAGGAGCCAGAUUCACCCUCGAUAUCCCCAGUGGUCUAUUUCGUUCUACUCCACUGAGUGGUUCAGGGUUUGAAGAAAAUCCAACAGACAGACAAUAUUUGGGGCUUAUAUUAACAUUUUAUGUAUGAUACGACUUACCAUAAAGACUGCAUACAUCAACAAUGGAAGUCAUAGCACGUUUGAUUUUUGAGGAUAUAACCAACUGGACAUGCGUUUUUAAAUGCUUCAAUUUAUAAUCGUCUCCCAUAAUCAAGGGAGUUAAAUCUGUUAGUAUUAUAACUAUUCGUUCAUUCCGUUAUGUUUAUUAUUAUUGAACUUAUACUUGGCAAUUUGAUUCUCAAUAAAACUCUUGAACCUAAAUAUAUAAACACCUGUCCGGUCUUCAUUAAUAUAUUGUAUAAUAAUUGUAAUUUGUUGUUAAUAAAUACGCAUUUAGUAUAGUGUGGACUUCUCUCAUUUAGACUAUCUUCUGGAUUACUUCCCUUUGCCAACUUCCUUUUCAAUUAACGAUUUAUGGGAUUGGUAGAUAAAAAUAUAACGCAAUCAUUAAGGGCAGAUAACGUGAGAGAGAGAGUACAGUUUUGGAAACCUUAGAGAUGGGGUUUAACGUCCAUCCGACACAAACUAGCUCAUUUUGGGACUAACAUAUGAUUCAAUAUCUUUUUAACAAAACAACUAAAUUAUACAUUUACUAUAAUGCUAUGACAUUGUGUAACGUUCGUAUAUUUGUUAUUUGUGAUAACAAUAUGCUCACUAGAAAUAAAAAAUCAAAGAAUUUAAUGGGGAAGACACUAAAGAAAUUAGCGAUUUUUGUUUUAUGUGAAUAUUGUUAUUACUAAUAAUUAACAUGUAAACCUAUUUCAUGUUACGUUUUCUGUGCUUCAAAAUAUA